CCUUACCUGGCCUUGACAUCCUGCGAACUUUCUAGAGAUAGAUUGGUGCCUUCGGGAACGCAGUGACAGGUGCUGCAUGGCCGUCGUCAGCUCGUGUCGUGAGAUGUUGGGUUAAGUCCCGUAACGAGCGCAACCCCUAUCCCUAGUUGCUAGCAGUUCGGCUGAGAACUCUAGGGAGACUGCCGGUGACAAACCGGAGGAAGGUGGGGAUGACGUCAGGUCAUCAUGGCCCUUACGGCCAGGGCUACACACGUGCUACAAUGGUGCGUACAGAGGGCUGCAAACCCGCGAGGGGGAGCUAAUCUCACAAAACGCAUCGUAGUCCGGAUCGGAGUCUGCAACUCGACUCCGUGAAGUCGGAAUCGCUAGUAAUCGCGAAUCAGAAUGUCGCGGUGAAUACGUUCCC
rnacentral:rRNA from 1 species